GUCAGCCUGCCCAGUGAUCUAAUUCAACGGCCGCGGUAUUCUAACCGUGCAAAGGUAGCGUAAUCACUUGUUUUUUAAAUAAAGACCAGUAUGAAAGGCAUCACGAAGACCUAGCUGUCUCCUUUAUCUAAUCAGUGAACCUAAUCUCCCCGUGAAGAAGCGGGGAUCCACCCGUAAGACGAGAAGACCCCGUGGAGCUUAAAACACAUAACAUUUUGCUACCGCCUUAAACCACCCUGGUAUUUCCCCCACCUGCAUCACUGACUGUGUUUUUGGUUGGGGUGACCGCGGAGAAAAACUCAUCCUCCGCAGUGAACAGGAUUUCCUCCCUAAACACCAAGCUACAACUUCACGUAUCAAAAAAUUGACACCCUUGACCCAAUAAAUUGAUUAACGAACCAAGUUACCCCGGGGAUAACAGCACAAUCCACUUUAAGAGUCCCUAUCGACAAGUGGGCUUAUGACCUCGAUGUUGGAUCGGGUUAUCCCAGUGGUGCAGCCGCUACUAAAGGUUCGUUUGUUCAACGAUUAAAAUCCC
rnacentral:rRNA from 1 species